AUUGAACGCUGGCGGCAUGCCUUACACAUGCAAGUCGAACGGCAGCACGGGAGCAAUCCUGGUGGCGAGUGGCGAACGGGUGAGUAAUAUAUCGGAACGUGCCCAGUUGUGGGGGAUAACGUAGCGAAAGUUAAGCUAAUACCGCAUACGAUCUACGGAUGAAAGCGGGGGACCGUAAGGCCUUGCGCGAUUGGAGCGGCCGACGUCAGAUUAGGUAGUUGGUGAGGUAAAGGCGCACCAAGCCGACGAUCUGUAGCUGGUCUGAGAGGACGACCAGCCACACUGGGACUGAGACACGGCCCAGACUCCUACGGGAGGCAGCAGUGGGGAAUUUUGGACAAUGGGCGCAAGCCUGAUCCAGCCAUUCCGCGUGCAGGACGAAGGCCUUCGGGUUGUAAACUGCUUUUGUACGGAACGAAAAGGCUCUGGUUAAUACCUGGGGCUCAUGACGGUACCGUAAGAAUAAGCACCGGCUAACUACGUGCCAGCAGCCGCCGCCG
rnacentral:rRNA from 1 species